rnacentral:rRNA from 1 species
AAUACAUGCAGUCGAACGAAGACCCUUGUACUCGUACGAGGAAUUCUUAGUGGCGAACGGGUGAGUAUCGCGUUGGUGACCUGCCCCGAAGUGGGGGACAACAGUCCGAAAGGACUGCUAAUACCCCAUGUGGCCGUGAUAAUUAGAAAGUCACGACUAAAGGAGUAAUCCGCUUCGGGAGGGGCCUGCGUCCCAUCAGCUAGUUGGUAAGGUAAUGGCUUACCAAGGCUACGACGGGUAGGGGACCUGAGAGGGUGGCCCCCCACACUGGUACUGAAACACGGACCAGACACCUACGGGUGGCAGCAGUAGGGAAUAUUGCACAAUGGGCGAAAGCCUGAUGCAGCAACACCGCGUGUGUGAUGAAGGCCUUCGGGUCGUAAAGCACUUUUAUGAGGGAAGAGGAAGGACGGUACCUCAUGAAUAAGGAUCGGCUAACUACGUGCCAGCAGCUGCGGUAACACGUAGGAUCCAAGCGUUAUCCGGAUUUACUGGGCGUAAAGCGCGUGUAGGCGGCUUAGUAAGUUGGAUGUGAAAGCUCCCGGCCCAACCGGGAGACGUCGUUCAAUACUGCUAGGCUUGAGGACGAUAGAGGAAGGUGGAAUUCCGGGUGUAGUGGUGAAAUGCGUAGAUAUCCGGAGGAACACCAGUGGCGAAGGCGGCCUUCUGGGUCGUUCCUGACGCUCAGACGCGAAAGCUAGGGUAGCGAACGGGAUUAGAAACCCCGGUAGUCCUAGCCGUAAACGAUGUCAACUUGGUGUUGGUGGUGUAAAAACCAUCAGUGCCGUAGCUAACGCGAUAAGUUGACCGCCUGGGGACUACGGCCGCAAGGUUAAAACUCAAAGGAAUUGACGGGGCCCCGCACAAGCAGCGG